rnacentral:rRNA from 1 species
CCUACGGGAGGCAGCAGUGAGGAAUAUUGGUCAAUGGGCGGAAGGCUGAACCAGCCAAGUAGCGUGCAGGAUGACGGCCCUACGGGUUGUAAACUGCUUUUAUACGGGAAUAACGCGCCUUACGUGUAGGGCUUUGCAUGUACCGUAUGAAUAAGGACCGGCUAAUUCCGUGCCAGCAGCCGUGGUAAUACGGAAAGUCCGGGCGUUAGCCGGAUUUAUUGGGUUAAAGGGGGGCGUAGGCGGCAUGUCAGUCGUGCUGUGAAAGGUCCGGGCUCAACCGGGGCAUUGCAGCGCGAACUGGCGUGCUUGAGUCCGCAGAACGCAGGCGGAAUUCGUGGUGUAGCGGUGAAAUGCUUAGAUAUGACGAAGAACCCCGAUUGCGAAGGCAGCUUGCUGCAGCGGAACUGACGCUGAUGCUCGAAAGCGCGGGUAUCGAACAGGAUUAGAUACCCCUGUAGUC